AGGAUGAACGCUGGCGGCGUGCCUAACACAUGCAAGUCGAACGUCCUGUCUCGCAAGAGGCAGGGAGUGGCGGACGGGUGAGUACCACGUGGGUCAUCUACCGUGAGGUGAGGAAUACCGGCGAGAAAUCGCCGACAAGACCGCAUAGGCUCGAUGCAAGUCGAGCAAAGCUCUUUCGAGAGAGGGAGCGCCACACGAGGAGCCUGCGCCCGAUUAGCUAGCUGGUGGAGUAACGGUUCACCAGGGCGACGAUCGGUAGCUGGUCUGAGAGGACGAUCAGCCACACUGGGAUUGAGAACGGCCCAGACUCCUACGGGGGGCAGCAGUGAGGAAUUUUCGUCAAUGGGGGCAACCCUGAACGAGCAACGCCGCGUGCAGGAGGAAGGUCUUCGGAUCGUAAACUGCUUUUCUGUGGGAAGAGAACGGACGGUACCACGAGGAAGAACGCCCCGGACUAACGUACGUGCCAGCAGCCGCGGUAA
rnacentral:rRNA from 1 species